rnacentral:tRNA from 1 species
AUUUUAAUAGCUUAAAUAAAGCAAAAUAUUGAAGAUAUUUAUAUAGAACUUUCUUUAAAAUA